GUCAGAACGCGUGUGUGGCCAUGUUGGCGGGUUUGUUUAAAUGUGACUUCAGUCUGUAGACGAGGUGGGUUUAAAGCCAGAGCAAGCUGCUGUUUGGUCGUUGCUUUCAGGAUAAUCAACCUUUCCCGGUUUCUUGAUGAUGGCCAUUGUUGUUUAAGUGAUUGUACUGUGAUCUCUUGCUGCAGCCUUCUUGGUAAAACGUGAGUGAUUCUUUGUGACUGGUCAUCCCAAAGACUGUGAUCUGUAUUGGCCUUUAGUUGGACUGAGAGAGAACACUGUUUCCUUGGCAUCAGAGGUUCCUUUGAUACUAACUGCGCAUCACUGGUUCAUAAGCGACUAGGACAUGCAAGCAGCCCCAUCACUACCAACAAAAUAUGUACUCCCAACCAGCACGGCCCUCUUCAAUCAAUUAGGUUGUGCCUCUACUUAAGACAGAUAGCAUUUUGGGAUGACAGUUGAAACCUUAAUUAGAAGAGGUUGUUUGGCUGAAAAAAGGUGGGAUUUUUAAAAUACAGUCCCAGAUCAACACUCCUUGUUUUGUGGGCUUGCAUCUGUAGAUUGUUCAAACUAGACCUUAAGAACUACAACAAAUAGAGGGAUGUAAUUUGUUAAAUCACUGCUUACAGGCUUGAGGAAAAGACUUUUUGGGAAGUGUAUAUAAGGUGUUUGGAAGAAUAAAAUGUACUUGGCUAACCAAGCACAAUUGAAGAGAAAUGAAAAGUGACAACUAAGAAGAUAAAGAGAUUUUUAUAUGAGAAACUCCAAUGAUGUGGGCUUGUAUAUUAUUUGGCCCUGAUGUUUGUUCAUUUGACACUGAUUUCAACGAUGCUUCAAUUACUGCUGUAAGGUGCAACCUAUAUUUUGAAAUGGUGGCCUCGACGAGUGUGUAGUAAUACAUAUUGGAAUUCAAACAUGGUUUGUUUAGUUUCCCUAGUUUCAGUAGUUUGACAGAGAGACAAGCGCAAGCUAGUCCCUGGAGACAGUUCUCUAACAAAUUAGAGAUAUCUUAUCGCCAGUGACACUACUCAACAGCCAGAGCACAAGCAUCAUCCUGUACAUCCAGUUUCUUGAUGUUUCUUGCUUGUAGUUGAGGUGAUUGGUACUUUGAUCUCUUGCUGUUGCCUUCUGGGUAAAAGUUGUAGCAUUGAUGAAGAGACAAGGCCAGACCCUUGGGAGACAGUUUUCUGGAUUUUAACACAUCACAGGCAACUGGUGCAUUACUGACAACACAACCUGCUUGUCUUCUGCUGCUGGUUGAACAGUGAUAUGCUCCAUGCUGUGACAUGCUCAACCUCUCUCAUCGUUUUCUUAUCUUGUCUGUCCUGGAAUAGCAUGAGCAAAUUCUGGGUGCAAUAUCUGUUGUAAAAGUACACUGACCAUUUUUAGGGGCAAUAAAAGUAACAACAGCACGAUUUUGAUUUCCUCAACAAAACAGAACUGGUAAUUUGCAACUGUUGCAGUGACCGUUUGUCUUGUGGUGGCAGCAAAAGGUUUUGUUGAAAAGGUUCCUAUUUUGCAUGGCUUUUCUAUACCAUCUGGUGUACCUCAAGGAAGUGUCUUUAGCCCAAUCCAGUUCUUAUGUAUACCGACGACUUUCCUUAUCACAUCGUGUCAGCUAGCACUUUAUUUGGUAACAAUGCUCUUGUGUAUAGGCCAACAUAAUGUCAGUUUGAUGACCUUCAAGGUAUUCAUGGCUUCCAAAGAUGUUGUCAUGCUAAUAAAAUGCAUCUCAGUACAUUACUAAGGAAACCAAAGGUUUGCAUAUAGGAUGGUUAAAGAAAAUAGUGGACCUGAAUUUUACCUUAGUUAACAUGUAGUUUGAAGCUGAUAAUGAGUACAAAAUUUCUCGGGAAAAUCUUGUUAUGUCACUACCAAAUCAAACAGACUUAUUAUGUUUUGCUUUCAUCUUGCAAGUCUCUGGUGUUGACUUUUCUGGAAUACAAGUAGCCUAUCUGGUACCUUCACAACAGAAACCUUAUAUAUUGACAAGUUAGAACAAAAUUCAUGUUGAGCAACCAGAAUAAUUCUCUAGUGAAGAAGAUUUAAAAUGGAUUACAUGGAUUGGUUGCAUAUGUACAUUGAAUUUGUCUUUGCGUGAAUCUAAAAGCGUCCAUCUUUUGCUUACAUUUUUGUUUAGAGGUCUUCAUAGAGCUUUUGACCGUGAAAUAGUCUUAGUGAACAGGUGGUAUAUUGAAACGAUCAGGCUGGACAAACCUUAGGGCACGAAUUUAAAAACUUCAUCAUUUUGCCAAUUACAUGCUCUUGAAAUGAACUACAUGUACCUGAACGUUUGAGAACUGAAGUGGUUUAAAUAACCCUUCCAUACCGGAUCAACUUACCAAGUACCCACUUGAAUUUGAAAGUAUAUGAAACUUGACAGAGUACUGAUUGAAUUUGCAGUGGAGUACCCUUGUAAUAAGGUCGUUGGGACUGGCAAGUUGUGGGAGGGGCACUGUGCUGUUUGGUGCAAGGAAGCACAAAAUGGGGGGAUUUGAAUACCUAGGAUUUGCCAUGUGGGCCAGAUGUGUCAAUGGUUUUGCUUUUGUCGGUAUUCAACUGUAUUUUGUUAUUUCAUGGUGUCUUUCUUUUUUUCGGUUUUUACACAAUAAAUUUCUUUCAUUGUUUUGAGUUA